rnacentral:rRNA from 1 species
AAAAUCAGAAAUUUCACCCUGAACGUGCCCGAUCUCGUCUGAUCUCAGAAGCUAAGCAGGGUCAGGCCUGGUUAGUACUUGGAUGGGAGACCACCCAGGAAGACCAGGUGCUGUAGGCG